AAGGUUAAGAAGAAGAAGAAGAAGAAGAAAGACUCGCUCGUCCGUUCACUGGUGACUGAUACGGUAUAGGAAACUACAACAACGAUGGCCGAAAACGAAGCCAGCUCGUUCGACGAAGGUAGUGAAUAUUCGUCUCCGGCAGAAGCACCGGGUGAGU